rnacentral:rRNA from 1 species
AGAACGACUCUCGGCAACGGAUAUCUCGGCUCUCGCAUCGAUGAAGAACGUAGCAAAAUGCGAUACUUGGUGUGAAUUGCAGAAUCCCGUGAACCAUCGAGUUUUUGAACGCAAGUUGCGCCCGAAGCCUUCGGGCCAGGGCACGUCUGCCUGGGCGUCACACA